GAAAGUAGGUUGUUGAAAGAGGAAGAACUGCGAAAAGAGGAAGUCCAAACUCUGCAAGCUGAACUCACUUGUAGACAAACAGAAGUUAAAGCAUUGAGUACCCAGGUAGAAGAAUUAAAAGAUGAGUUAGUAACUCAGAGACGUAAACAUGCCUCUAGUAUCAAGGAUCUCACCAAACAACUUCAGCAAGGCUACCGGCAUCCAGGGUGCAGAUACCCCAGAUGUGUCCUCUGAAUUGGAAAUCGUUGCGGCUUAACUGUUCACCUGGGUCUCAAGAAACAGACCCCAAAAAGUUAAAAAUUACCCAAACAUAACAAUUAACUGCUGAACUGGAUUCCAGAUUUCUUUCUUUUAAAAAGUCAUACAGUGAUUGGGUGUCUGUGCUAUAGCUUGGGAUACAAAAAUAUUAUAAGACACGUAUUUCAACCUCCUAUUCUCUGCUAUUUCCCACGGCUUUAUUUGUGUUAAAAUAGGGUGAAAUGUAGUAAUAAGCUAAAAGGGACUUAGCAUUCACUUAAUAUAAAUAUAUUCAGAUGUUUGUCAUAGGGUUUAGUUUGUUUUUAUAGAUGUAAUUGAAGGGAAAUUUGGAAGAAAUUUCUGGUACUGUAAGGAACUUCUAAAUCUUUCAAUACUUCAAAAAGUUAACUCCACUGUAAUUAAG
rnacentral:sRNA from 1 species